rnacentral:rRNA from 1 species
AAUGAACGCUGGCGGCAGGCUUAACACAUGCAAGUCGAACGGGUGUAGCAAUACAUCAGUGGCAGACGGGUGAGUAACACGUGGGAACCUUCCUAGGGGUACGGAACAACUCAGGGAAACUUGAGCUAAUACCGUAUACGUCCGUGAGGAGAAAGAUUUAUCGCCCUUAGACGGGCCCGCGUUGGAUUAGGUAGUUGGUGGGGUAACGGCCUACCAAGCCUACGAUCCGUAGCUGAUCUGAGAGGAUGAUCAGCCACACUGGGACUGAGACACGGCCCAGACUCUUACGGGAGGCAGCAGUGGGGAAUCUUGGACAAUGGGCGAAAGCCUGAUCCAGCCAUGCCGCGUGAGUGAAGAAGGCCUUAGGGUUGUAAAGCUCUUUUGCCAGGGACGAUAAUGACGGUACCUGGAGAAUAAGCCCCGGCAAACUUCGUGCCAGCCGCCGCGGUAAAAC